ACUCACACUCUCACCAAAUCUCUCGGGUGUUAAUAUGUUUUACACUCAAAAUUCAUAGUACGCAAUAUCAUAUCGUAAACUUGAAUAAAUUGUCUUUUGAUGUGAAGGUGCACGACGCACACUUUUUGAGGCAUUUAUGGUUGUAAUGGGGGUAUGGUUAAGAUGGGAUAACUUUGGCAAAGUAGGCUAAGGUUCAGAGUCAAUAUGAUCGUUAUCUUCACUAUGCUCAUUCUGAUGGACUAAUGCUGAAAAUAUUUCUUGCACUCGUCCUUUAGGAUCAACUGUUAUCGAGGCAUCAACUUUUGGAUUUAUCUUUAUUUUCAAUAUUCGCUGACUUCUCAUUCUUUCGAGUUCCCUACUGAUUAUUUUUAUUUUAUUUUUUUUCAAUUUGACUUUUCAAAUUUUCAUCUUUU
rnacentral:lncRNA from 1 species